rnacentral:rRNA from 1 species
GCGGCAGCAUGGACUUCGGUCUGAUGGCGAGCGGCGAACGGGUGAGUAAUGCAUCGGAACGUACCCAGUCGUGGGGGAUAACGUAGCGAAAGUUACGCUAAUACCGCAUACGUCCUACGGGAGAAAGCAGGGGAUCGCAAGACCUUGCGCGAUUGGAGCGGCCGAUGUCUGAUUAGCUAGUUGGUAGGGUAAAGGCCUACCAAGGCGUCGAUCAGUAGCGGGUCUGAGAGGAUGAUCCGCCACACUGGAACUGAGACACGGUCCAGACUCCUACGGGAGGCAGCAGUGGGGAAUUUUGGACAAUGGGGGCAACCCUGAUCCAGCCAUUCCGCGUGAGUGAAGAAGGCCUUCGGGUUGUAAAGCUCUUUCGGCAGGAACGAAACGGUUCGCUCUAACAUAGCGGACUACUGACGGUACCUGAAGAAGAAGCACCGGCUAACUACGUGCCAGCAGCCGCGGUAAUACGUAGGGUGCGAGCGUUAAUCGGAAUUACUGGGCGUAAAGCGUGCGCAGGCGGCUUUUUAAGCCAGAUGUGAAAUCCCCGGGCUUAACCUGGGAACUGCAUUUGGAACUGGAAGGCUAGAGUGCGGCAGAGGGGGGUAGAAUUCCACGUGUAGCAGUGAAAUGCGUAGAGAUGUGGAGGAAUACCGAUGGCGAAGGCAGCCCCCUGGGUCGACACUGACGCUCAUGCACGAAAGCGUGGGGAGCAAACAGGAUUAGAUACCCUGGUAGUCCACGCCGUAGACGAUGAAUGCUAGGUGUUAGGGGUUUCGAUACCCUUGGUGCCGAAGUUAACACAUU